CCGUGGCUCAGCCGGUAGAGCAGCUGAUUCGUAAUCAGCAGGUCAGGGGUUCGAAUCCCCUCGG
rnacentral:tRNA from 1 species